UACAGAGACCUCAAGCGUUAUCCGGAUUUAUUGGGCGUAAAGCGUCUGCAGGCGGCGAAGAAAGUUCAUUGUUAAAGCCCUCGGCUCAACCGAGGAAAUGCUAUGAAUACUACUUUGCUAGAGGACAUAAGAGAUCACUAGAACUCAUGGUGUAGGGGUGAAAUCCGUUGAUACCAUGGGGAAUACUAAGGGCGAAGGCAUGUGAUUGGUGUGUUCCUGACGCUCAGAGACGAAAGCGUGGGUCGCGAAUGGGAUUAGAUACCCGAGUAGU
rnacentral:rRNA from 1 species